AACGCGAAGAACCUUACCUAGGUUUGACAUCCUUUGACAAUUGCAGAGAUGCAACUUUUGUAGCAAUACAACAAAGUGACAGGUGCUGCAUGGCUGUCGUCAGCUCGUGUGGUGGCAUGUCGGGUUAAGUCCCUCAACGAGCGCAACCCCUGUCUUUAGUUGCCAGCAUUAAGUUGGGCACUCUAGAGAGACUGCCGUGGUUAACACGGAGGAAGGCGGGGAUGACGUCAAGUCCUCAUGGCCCUUACAUCUAGGGCGACACACGUAAUACAAUGGUCGAUACAGAGGGAUGCGAAAUGGUGACAUGGAGCAAAUCUCAAAAAGUCGAUCUCAGUUCGGAUUAGAGUCUGCAACUCGACUCUAUGAAGGUGGAAUCGCUAGUAAUCGCGGAUCAGCACGCCGCGGUGAAUACGUUCCCGGGCCUUGUACACACCGCAUAC
rnacentral:rRNA from 1 species